CACGUAGGGGGCAAGCGUUGUCCGGAAUUAUUGGGCGUAAAGAGCUCGUAGGCGGCUCGGUAAGUCAGGUGUCAAAUCCUCAGGCUCAACCUGGGGCUCCACCUGAUACUGCUGUGGCUAGAGUCCGGUAGGGGAGCGUGGAAUUCCUGGUGUAGCGGUGAAAUGCGCAGAUAUCAGGAGGAACACCAGCGGCGAAGGCGGCGCUCUGGGCCGGAACUGACGCUGAGGAGCGAAAGCGUGGGUAGC
rnacentral:rRNA from 1 species